rnacentral:rRNA from 1 species
AACGAACGCUGGCGGCAUGCCUUACACAUGCAAGUCGAACGGCAGCACGGACUUCGGUCUGGUGGCGAGUGGCGAACGGGUGAGUAACAUAUCGGAACAUACCCUAGAGUGGGGGAUAACGUAGCGAAAGUUACGCUAAUACCGCAUACGAUCUAAGGAUGAAAGUGGGGGAUCUUCGGACCUCAUGCUCAUGGAGUGGCCGAUAUCUGAUUAGCUAGUUGGUGAGGUAAAGGCUCACCAAGGCGACGAUCAGUAGCUGGUUUGAGAGAACGACCAGCCACACUGGAACUGAGACACGGUCCAGACUCCUACGGGAGGCAGCAGUGGGGAAUUUUGGACAAUGGGCGCAAGCCUGAUCCAGCCAUGCCGCGUGAGUGAUGAAGGCCCUAGGGUUGUAAAGCUCUUUCACCGGUGAAGAUAAUGACGGUAACCGGAGAAGAAGCCCCGGCUAACUUCGUGCCAGCAG